GGUUUCAGUCCCCAUCGGGCCCAAUACAAUCUUACCUGAAGCAAACCCUGGGCCUAUCCCAGUACCACACCAGCCACAGAUUCCACCUAGAAGCCAGAGCACUACCGUUGGAACGCCACUAGGUGUCAGGACUGCUACGGUACCGGUUCCCUCUGGGGAUACCCAACAGAGACUUCUCAAUCUGGUACAAGGAGUCUUCCAGGUGUUAAAUUAGACGGACCCCAGUAUCACUAAAUCAUGUUGGCUCUGUUUAGGGUCCAGACUGCCCUAUUACGAAGGAAUAGUAACUAAUAGAGCUGUUACCUAUAGUAAUUCACAUCAGUUUUGUUCAAGGGGCUCCAGCCAUAAACUAACCCUCACCAAAGUGUAUGGGGCAAGUCUAUGUAUAGGGGCCAUUCCUAAUACUUUUACUUCACUUUGAAACUCUACCCUGAUUGUCAACUCAUCUGCCGGUGCCUAUUUGGUCCCUCAAACUGAUACUUGGUGGGCCUGCAGUACUGGACUAACUCCUUGUAUUUCCACUUCAAUAUUUAAUCCUCACAGAGAUUUUUGUCUUCUGGUUCAGCUAGUGCCUCGAGUUUAUUGCCACCCAGAGAGAGUUGUAACUGAUGCAUAUGACAUAAGAUUAACCAGAUUCAAAAGAGAUCCCGUCACCUUGACGCUAGCUCCUAUUGGCAGUCGGGCUGGCUGGCAUAGGGACCCGUACUGCAGCAUUAGUCACCUCUCACCGCUCCUUUUCAGACUUGAGAGAUGCAAUGACCAAGGAU
rnacentral:lncRNA from 1 species